rnacentral:rRNA from 1 species
GAUCCUGGCUCAGGAUGAACGCUGGCGGCGUGCUUAACACAUGCAAGUCGAGCGAAGCAGUUUCAAUGAAGUUUUCGGAUGGAUUUGAAAUUGACUUAGCGGCGGACGGGUGAGUAACGCGUGGGUAACCUGCCUUACACUGGGGGAUAACAGUUAGAAAUGACUGCUAAUACCGCAUAAGCGCACAGGGCCGCAUGGCCUGGUGUGAAAAACUCCGGUGGUGUAAGAUGGACCCGCGU